rnacentral:misc_RNA from 1 species
GAUGAAGAACGUAGCGAAAUGCGAUACUUGGUGUGAAUUGCAGAAUCCCGUGAACUAUCGAGUCUUUGAACGCAAGUUGCGCCCGAAGCCACUAGGCCGAGGGCACGCCUGCCUGGGCGUCACACGCCGUUGCCCCCCCAUCUACUCCUUCGGGAUUGCGGGGGGGCGGAUGAUGGCCUCCUGUGCGCCUAGCCGCGCGGUUGGCAUAAAUACCAAGUCCUCGGCGACGCACGCCACGACAAUCGGUGGUUGCGAAACCUCGGUUGCCCGUCGUGUGCGUUCGUCGCGCAUCGAGGGCUCGAAAAAAUGCUCGGCUCCGGCUGGGCUUUCAACGCGACCCCAGGUCAGGCGGGGUUACCCGCUGAAUUUAAGCAUAUCAAUAAGCGGAGGA